UUAGAAAGAUGUGAGUGAUAAAAAAUUGUUCAGCCCAGAUCUUGUGGAGGAGACUACAACCAAAAUAGUUAAGAUCAGAAAGAACAUCCAGAUGGCUUAGAGUAGGUAAAAGAGUUAUGCGGACACCCAGAAAAGGGAUUUGGAAUUUGAGAAAUGUGAUCGAGUAUUCCUUAAAGUCACUUCUUUCAAGUGAAUUAGUAGGU
rnacentral:lncRNA from 1 species